AAAAUUUACCAUUGUAGCAACUGGAUUGGACCAACAACUGAACCAUUGGUUACCCCUAUCAUACUACGAUGUGGUUGCUUCUAUACAUAAAGUUGCCAUUCUUAACUUUCAUGAUCUCUCUCUGUGAACCUCAUAUGUUCCACAGGUGAACUCUUUACACCAGUAGAGGCUGGUGGGAGUGGAAUGGAAUGGGGUCAAACAUGUUUUCCAUGUGUUUGAUACCAUUCCAUUAAUUCCAUUCCUCCUCCUAUAGGUCAUCCCACCAGCCUCCACUGCUUUACACAGGAAAGAAGGGAAGGGCAUAUCUUUAUGGGCCAUAAUGGCUUCUUAGUAAAUCUGUGAAUGGAAGUUCCUGUUUAGAGUGAGGCGACUGCAGUGAAGUAGUAGUAGUCGGCCACCACAUAGUCACAUGACCUCCAAGUGGACCCCACUUAUAGGAACCCAGGCCCCUUGUUUUGCACGGGGAGUCAGCACGUUAUAGAAACGUUUAUCCAAGACUUCAUCCAAGAGUUUGGUUAGUGUACAGGUCAUUUUAUGUUCACUGAAUGUUUGUUUUUUUGAAUCAUGCUACCUGUAUUAACCGGAGGCAGUGCUGCCUUAUGUUAUUAAGAUGUUUGACUUACAAAUGAGCCAACAGGAAACUCCAUGUACAAAAAUGCAUCGUCAUUUCUUAUUUGACCUUGGUAGUACAGUAUUUAUGGGAUAUACAUUUUUGUACAUGGAGUUUCCUGUUGGCUCAUUUGUGUUGAAAUGUGCCAAAACCGAGAUUAAAUCAUAUGUAAUCUCUCAUUUUAUUUUGAUAAUUUUUUUUUUUCUGUCAAUUUCCUUCUACGUAUCACACCUUUUCUGAGUGAAUAAUUUUUUCCCAGACAUCAUUACUAUAUAAUAUAAAAAUGAUCAACCAUAAUCAACUAAGGUGUGUUGCUUUUUUUUGCCACUGGAGAGCAGGAGCACACUUCACAAAUAAGUAAUGUACAGAACCUCUGAGUGAGCUGUUUUGUGAUCCACACUUGAUAAAUUAAUAGCAUUGACAUAUCCCGAUAUUUAAGAAGAGCAUCAAUUAUACAUUUUCUUUGUCUUUACUGGUUAUACUUUUUUUUUUUUAAAUGCAUUAGUGUGUUUCAGUUCAAGCCUUGUUUUUAUUGUCCAUAAUUGAGUUAUGGUUGGUAUUUGACAAGGAUAUUCUACCGGGAGCUAUGUGUAGAACGUUGAUGGAAGAUAAUGCACAUGAUGUGAAAAAUAAUGUCCUUGUUAUGCAUUCUAUGUUGUUCAGAGUGCAACACUACAGAAUAAACUGAGAAUAUACAGUGUUAAAUCUUGUACUGUUGACAUAUUGUACCUCUGCCCGAAGGCUGCACUGUGUAACAGUAUGGAUGGGUGCUGAGUGCAUCCACAGUAUAUUGAUUCAGCUCUGGCCUUAGAGACAGCCGGCAAGCAGCAGUUGCUACAUACAGUCAGACCUAGCCAGAGCAGAUGCAGCCUGUGGUUAAAGCCUCUUACUACCAUACCAGGGCAGAGGGCUGGGAUACAGUCCUCGCCUCUAGCUUCAUCCUUUUC
ensembl:lncRNA